AAGACCUUGCACUUUUGGAGCGGCCGAUGUCUGAUUAGCUAGUUGGUGGGGUAAUGGCCUACCAAAGCUUCGAUCAGUAGCUGGUCUAAGAGGACGGCCAGCCACACUGGGACUGAGACACGGCCCAGACUCCUACGGGAGGCAGCAGUGGGGAAUUUUGGACAAUGGGCGCAAGCCUGAUCCAGCCAUGCCGCGUGAGUGAAGAAGGCCUUCGGGUUGUAAAGCUCUUUCAGCCGGGAAGAAAAGGUUGCGAUUAAUAAUCGUAAUUUAUGACGGUACCGGAAGAAGAAGCACCGGCUAACUACGUGCCAGCAGCCGCGGUAAUACGUAGGGUGCGAGCGUUAAUCGGAAUUACUGGGCGUAAAGGGUGCGCAGGCGGUUUUGUAAGUCAGAUGUGAAAUCCCCGGGCUUAACCUGGGAACU
rnacentral:rRNA from 1 species